rnacentral:rRNA from 1 species
GACGAACGCUGGCGGCGUGCUUAACACAUGCAAGUCGAACGGAAAGGCCCUUCGGGGUACUCGAGUGGCGAACGGGUGAGUAACACGUGGGUGAUCUGCACUGCACUUUGGGAUAAGCCUGGGAAACUGGGACUAAUACCGAAUAGGACCACGUGAUUCAUGGUGUGUGGUGGAAAGCUUUUGCGGUGUGGGAUGGGCCCGCGGCCUAUCAGCUUGUUGGGGGGGUAAUGGUCUACCAAGGCGACGACGGAUAGCCGGCCUGAGAGGGUGACCGGCCACAAUGGGACUGAGGUACGGCCCAGACUCCUACGUGAGGCAGCGGUGGAGAAUAUUGCGCAACGAGCGCAAGCCUGUUGCAGCGACGCCGCGUGAGGGAUAACGGCCUUCGGGUUGUAAACCUCUUUCUCCGGGGACGAAGCGUAAGUGACGGUACCUGGAGAAGAAGCACCGGCCAACUACGUG